rnacentral:rRNA from 1 species
CCUGGCUCAGAACGAACGCUGGCGGCAGGCCUAAAACAUGCAAGUCGAGCGAUCUUCGGGAUAGCGGCGCACGGGUGAGUAACGCGUGGGAACGUACCCCUGGGUGCGGAAUAACGUCUGGAAACGGGCGCUAAUACCGCAUAAUGACUCCGGUCCAAAGAUUUAUCGCCCAGGGAUCGGCCCGCGUUAGAUUAGAUAGUUGGUGGGGUAACGGCCUACCAAGUCGACGAUCUAUAGGGGGUCUGAGAGGAUGAUCCCCCACACUGGUACUGAGACACGGACCAGACUCCUACGGGAGGCAGCAGUUAGGAAUAUUGCACAAUGGGCGAAAGCCUGAUGCAGCCAUGCCGCGUGAGUGAAGAAGGCCUUAGGGUUGUAAAGCUCUUUCAGAUGUGAGGAUAAUGACCGUAGCAUCAUAAGAAGCCCCGGCUAAAUUCGUGCCAGCAGCCGCGGUAAUACGAAUGGGGUGAGCGUUGUUCGGAAUCACUGGGCGUAAAGCGUGCGUAGGCGGAAUUGAAAGUCAGAAGUGAAAGCCCAGGGCUUAACCCUGGAACUGCUUUUGAAACUUCAAUUCUAGAGUUCUGGAGAGGUAAGGGGAAUUCCGAGUGUAGAGGUGAAAUUCGCAGAUACUCGGAGGAACACCAGUGGCGUAGGCGCCUUACUGGACAGAUACUGACGCUGAGGUACGAAAGCGUGGGGAGCAAACAGGAUUAGAUACCCUGGUAGUCCAACGCCGUAAACGAUGUGUGCUAGUAGUAGAGGCCAUAGGUCUCAGUGACGCAGCUAACGCAUUAAGCACACCGACUGGGGAGUACGGUCGCAAGAUUAAAACUCAA